UCUCUGGUAGUAUAUCGGUUAGUACACGCGCCUGUCACAGCGUGGACAGGGAGAUAUUGUUUCGCGCGAAAGCUGGGUUCGACUCCCAGCCAGAGAG